rnacentral:rRNA from 1 species
CCUACGGGAGACAGCAGUAGGGAAUUUUGCGCAAUGGGGGAAAGCCUGACGCAGCAACACCGCGUGAAGGUUAAGCCCUUCGGGGUGUAAAGUUCUGUCAAUAGGGGAGAAUUUUGACUGUAUCUCUAAAGAAAACACCGGCUAACUCCGUGCCAGCAGCCGCGGGAAUACGGGGGGUUCAAGCGUUGUCCGGAAUCAUUGGGCGUAAAGCGUUCGUAGGCGGUAUGUGAAGUCAGAUGUUAAAGUCCGGGGCUCAACCCCGGAUCGGCAUUGGAAACUGUCAAACUAGAAUGUGGGAGAGGUAAGGGGAAUUCCUGGUGUAGCGGUGAAAUGCGUAGAUAUCAGGAGGAACACCGGUGGCGAAAGCGGUUUACUGGACCACUAUUGACGCUGAGGAACGAAAGCGAGGGGAGCAAAUGGGAUUAGAUACCCCAGUAGUC